UACACCCUUUGCAAAAAGCUCUGGCCCUUCAGGUAUUGUAUUUGAACUCUAUACUCACAAUGCCACAUCACAUUGUGACUGUAGUCUCUCAUUGCUACAAUUACAAUUCUGCUCACCAACAUGAGCAGAGAGCAGGCCAAUUGGGCCUUUAACAAUAGACUCCAGGCCGUUUUUGUUGUUGGUCAACUACUUUCCCUUCUACUCUUCAGGACCUAUUCUGUGGCAGCAGUAGGCUUGUCUGCAGAAUGGACAACUGAAGAGAGAUAUGUCGCACGUGAGGGAAACAACUCCGUGUCUUGGCCUUCUGAAGUUUCUGUCCUCCCAAACCUAGACUCUGGUCCACCAACUGUCUUUGCCAGUCAAAAGGAUCCAGGGUCAAAGAGAAACAUCACAGUCCGUUUAGGUGUGCAUGUGACACUCUUUGGUCCAAGAGAAUUUAUUGUCCCUGAGUUACUUCUUGCCCUAUACAAAGAGCCAGUUCUCUACAGUCUUGGAGAGAACAGAGGGGUGCUUGCCCUGCGAAUACUGGGAAUGAGAAAGAGUGACCUCUGACCACUGUGAUUGCAUCACAUCGUGGACUCUUCUGAACCUCUCCACCUGAAAAUGCAGAGCUCCUUCAAUUCUUUAUUCUCCGUUGUCUUCUUGUUUAUUUAUAGUCUAUCUCUGUAGUGCUGUCAAGAUUACUCUCAAAUUGGUUUC